AGCUUUGCACAGUGGCAGUAUCACAGCCAAUGAGGUUCAUCUGAGGCAUGAUUAUUGCUAAAACAUUCUUUUUAUUUUUGAACCCAAGAGAGCUCUGGGAACUGCUUAUGAAAUGAGGAAAGAAAUAUGUCCUGAAACUAUGGUU